rnacentral:tRNA from 1 species
GUUUUCGUAGUGUAGUGGUUAUCACGUUUGCCUCACACGCGAAAGACCCCCGGUUCGAACCCGGGCGAAAACA